UACGGGGGGGGCAAGCGUUGUUCGGAAUUACUGGGCGUAAAGGGCUCGUAGGCGGCCAACUAAGUCAGACGUGAAAUCCCCCGGCUUAACCGGGGAACUGCGUCUGAUACUGGAUGGCUUGAGUUUGGGAGAGGGAUGCGGAAUUCCAGGUGUAGCGGUGAAAUGCGUAGAUAUCUGGAGGAACACCGGUGGCGAAGGCGGCAUCCUGGACCAACACUGACGCUGAGGAGCGAAAGCCAGGGGAGCAAACGGG
rnacentral:rRNA from 1 species